CUACGUAGCUCAGAGUUUGAUCCUGGCUCAGAUUGAACGCUGGCGGCAUGCUUUACACAUGCAAGUCGAACGGUAACAGGUCUUCGGAUGCUGACGAGUGGCGAACGGGUGAGUAAUACAUCGGAACGUGCCUAGUAGUGGGGGAUAACUACUCGAAAGAGUAGCUAAUACCGCAUGAGAUCUACGGAUGAAAGCAGGGGACCUUCGGGCCUUGUGCUACUAGAGCGGCUGAUGGCAGAUUAGGUAGUUGGUGGGGUAAAGGCUUACCAAGCCUGCGAUCUGUAGCUGGUAUGGGAGGACGACCAGCCACACUGGGACUGAGACACGGCCCAG
rnacentral:rRNA from 1 species